rnacentral:lncRNA from 1 species
AAGAAUAGAUUCCUAAGAGCUGUAAACUGCAUGCAGAGCUUGCUCUGGAGGACAUCAGAGGUUAGAUUACAUUAAAUAAUAAUAGUAAUAGUACUAAGGAUAGUAGUAGUAUAAGCCUGUUCUCAUUAAAUGGGGAGAGUGGGGCACAGGUUUUCUGAAUCCGCAGCUGAUGACCUCCUCAGUGAUUUCUCUUCCACUCUGCAUUGCCUUCUCUCUCUCCAAGCUUGUUAUACUGAAUCUUCACUUCCUGGAAAGAUUCUCUUGGAUUACUAAACAUGGAGGGAAAAGCACUUAAACCUGGCUUGGAGAAAGAGAAGAGAGGAGAGUCAUAUUCAAGGACUGUACUCUAAAUAUUCCUCCAAUAACAACAGCUUCUUGCAGAAACUCAGGUCAGAUGUCUUCAGGCUACAGCGCAGUGGAAUAAAAACAUCGUCCAGCUCUCAUUGAAUGGGGAAUUUAUCAGGCUGUAUUUUAAAA